GCCCCCGUAGCUCAGAGGAUAGAGCAGCGGUUUCCUAAACCGUGUGCACAGGUUCGAGUCCUGUCGGGGGUA
rnacentral:tRNA from 1 species